rnacentral:rRNA from 1 species
CAGCCGCCGCGGGAAUACGAAGGGUGCAAGCGUUAAUCGGAAUUACUGGGCGUAAAGCGUGCGCAGGCGGUUAUGUAAGUCAGAUGUGAAAUCCCCGAGCUUAACUUGGGAACUGCAUUUGAAACUGGCAAGCUAGAGUCUUGUAGAGGGGGGUAGAAUUCCAGGUGUAGCGGUGAAAUGCGUAGAGAUCUGGAGGAAUACCGGUGGCGAAGGCGGCCCCCUGGACAAAGACUGACGCUGAGGAGCGAAAGCGUGGGGAGCGAACAGGAUUAGAGACCCGCGUAGUCCCUGUCUCUUAUAC